CCCUUUCAACCAUUCACUCAGCAGCGAAAGAAAAUGGUGGACUUUGCGAGGAGGAUGCGUCGAGCAUCACCAUCAGCAGCAUCUCCCUCCGCCUUCCCCUCUUCCUCCUCCUCAUCAUCAUCAUCAACAGCAACGAGAGUAUAAAUGAAUAUCAACUUAACAACAGAAACAGCAACAACAAAAGUUACUAUUAAAUCGACAACAACAACAACAACAACAACAAAGCCAUGAAGUGCAAACAAUGGACGAAUCCUUCGUACUUUAAAAAAACACACGGAGUAUACGGUUUCAAUCCCCGCAGGCAGCAGCUGAGUUUAUAAUUUCGACACUAAGGAGUACUCUUUUUAGUAAAUGUAACAGUGAGGACCAAUGAAUACAUGCAUGUACUCUUUUUAGUAAAUGUAACAGUGAGGACCAAUGAAUACAUGCAUGUACUCUUGGUAUGGCUACAUUGAGUAAGUUUGUACUCGACAGGUUAAGGAGUACAACUAGUUGUGUGACCAGCAAGAAUCUUGUUCCUUUCAGAUGACAGCAAUAACAACAACAACAUCAACAACGAUGAUUACAACAACAAGCUGACCUCGUGACAACACUUGGAUAAGGAGUCUUACAUCCAGUGCCAUCUACCGGAGGAACCAUUUCUGCUAAAAUGGUAUUGGGAAGUUUAUACAGCUGACACCGUACUAUGAAUUUGAUCUGAGUGUGGAAUUAGAAAGCGCAUUGCUUAAUGUAGUCCAAGAUAUACUAUGCCCACGAGAAGGCAGAGAUUGCCAUAGACAGUUUUUAUCAUGGGCCUGCUCAACUGGGCAGACCUAGGGUUAAACAACAACAGCAAGUGUUUAUAGGAAGUUGUUGCAGUGGUUUAUAGCACCCGGAUGUUUACAUGUGCAAGCUUUCUGAACGACCAAUAUUUGGAUGAUAACCGGAAGUAAGCAUUUACUUUGAGAGUAAUGUGUGGUACCGGAAGUUUGUAUAUGGAUGCUACUUUAGUACCCGGAAGUUAUUGGGAGUUGAUGCCAUAUGGAUUGUACCGGAAGAUGACCCACCGUUGGACAUUACAUGAACGCGUGGUGCUUUCCAUACGAUGUUGCAGUGGCUAUGAUGCAUGUCUUGUAGAACGAAGAUAUGUGACAGUUUUAUAGUAGAAACGCCAACAGGAAUAAAUUCAGUUGAUGACUACGGAAGUAUCAGUCUUACACAACCGGAAGUACAACUAUUUCGGAAUAUAAGCUCUGUCAUGGAUUACCCUCGAUGAACAUUUACCAAAAGUUGGACGAUUUACAGUUGCCAUUUGUCUACAAUUAACUCGAAAAGGGAUACAAAAUUGUCCAAAACAUUACCCCGACUAAGCCAAUGGACAUUACUGUGUAGUGGGAGGUCUGCAUAUUCGCUGUCCAAUUCUUGCAGAAGGGACUUAAAUUAUCUGUGAGUCAGUGAAGAACAAGAAACUAUGAAGUUAACUAUUUUCACAACAGUCUCCAUCACAGAACUCAAGUUUUGUGACGAAAUUUUCGCAACUAAAUUUUCCUGAUGUAUAAUGCAAUUAAAACUCAUUACAUUGCAAUUAAAACUCAUUACAAUACAAUUAAA